rnacentral:snRNA from 1 species
CCUGCUUCCAAAGCAGUGCCCGUAGGCUGGGAUCAGGUGUAGCAUCUGUUUUUAUUAGUAUAAUACCUGAUUCAUCUUCAGUUUGAAGCCUUUACAUUAAACAGGAUUGGAAGAUGCACUAGGAGGUUACUCCACACAUCAAACUGGUGGUGUGCUUCCCCUAAGCACCCAAGCAGAGGCCUAG